rnacentral:rRNA from 1 species
GCUCCAGUAGCGUAUAUUAAAGUUGUUGCAGUUAAAAAGCUCGUAGUUGGAUUUCUGGCUUGAGACGCUGGCCGCCAAGGUUUCUUGGUGAGUGCCGGUGUGUCUCUGCCAUCCUUCUGGAAAUCGAUCCUGCUCUUUACUGAGUUGGGAUCGCGAUCCAGAUCUUUUACUUUGAAGAAAAUUAAAGUGUUCAAAGCAGG